CAGCCGCCGCGGUAAUACGAAGGGUGCAAGCGUUAAUCGGAAUUACUGGGCGUAAAGCGUGCGUAGGCGGUGAGUUAAGUCUGCUGUGAAAUCCCCGGGCUCAACCUGGGAAUGGCAGUGGAUACUGGCUCGCUAGAGUGUGUCAGAGGAUGGUGGAAUUCCCGGUGUAGCGGUGAAAUGCGUAGAGAUCGGGAGGAACAUCAGUGGCGAAGGCGGCCAUCUGGGACAACACUGACGCUGAGGCACGAAAGCGUGGGGAGCAAACAGGAUUAGAUACCCCCGUAGUCCCUGUCUCUUAUAA
rnacentral:rRNA from 1 species